rnacentral:rRNA from 1 species
CCCUUAGACGUUCUGGGCCGCACGCGCGCUACACUGACCAGUGCAACAAGCAUCCGUCCUUGGCCGACAGGCCCGGGCAAUCUUUGAACGCUGGUCGUGAUGGGGAUAGACUUUUGCAAUUUUUGGUCUUCAACGAGGAAUUCCUAGUAAACGCAAGUCAUCAACUUGCAUUGAUUACGUCCCUGCCCUUUGUACACACCGCCCGUCGCACCUACCGAUUGAAUGGUCCGGUGAAGCCUCCGGAUUGGCGCGCACCUCGGUGCCGCCGAGAAGUUGGCUAAACCUUACCAUUUAGAGGAAGGUGGANUCGUAACA